GACGAACGCUGGCGGCGUGCUUAACACAUGCAAGUCGAACGAGGAACUUCGGUGGACUUUCUUGGGAAAGAAACAGAAAUGAUUUAGUGGCGAACGGGUGAGUAACACGUGAGAAACCUGCCUAUUACAAGGGGAUAGCCUCCGGAAACGGUGAUUAAUACCCUAUGACAUCACAAUAUGGCAUGGUAUAGUGAUCAAAGAUUUAUCGGUGAUAGAUGGUCUUGCGGCUGAUUAGCUAGUUGGUAAGGUAACUGCUUACCAAGGCAACGAUCAGUAUCCGGCUUGAGAGGGUGAACGGACACACUGGAACUGAGACACGGUCCAGACUCCUACGGGAGGCAGCAGUGGGGAAUUUUGCACAAUGGGGGAAACCCUGAUGCAGCGACGUCGCGUGAACGAUGAAGGCCUUCGGGUUGUAAAGUUCUGUCCUAAGCGAAGAUAAUGACAGUAGCUUAGAAG
rnacentral:rRNA from 1 species